rnacentral:rRNA from 1 species
GACGGAGGGUGCAAACGUUGUUCGGAAUUACUGGGCGUAAAGCGUGUGUAGGCGGCCUCGCAAGUCGGAUGUGAAAGCCCUGGGCUCAACCCAGGAAGUGCACUCGAUACUGCUUGGCUCGAGUCUCGGAGAGGUUGGUGGAAUUCUCGGUGUAGAGGUGAAAUUCGUAGAUAUCGAGAGGAACACCGGUGGCGAAGGCGGCCAACUGGACGAAGACUGACGCUGAGACACGAAAGCGUGGGGAGCAAACAGG